GCUCUGUCUCAAAAAAAUAAAAAUAAAAAACAAUUUUUUAAAAAGCUGAGGUGGGAGGAUCACUUGAGCCUAGGGAUUCUGGUUGACAGUGUGUUAUGCCAAUUGAGUGUUCCCACUAACUGAGUGUUCAGCACAAAUGUGGUGACCUCCCAGGAGUGGGAGACCACCAGGUUGCCUAAGGAGGGGUGAACCGGAGCAGGCCAAAACUCCUGUGAUGACCAGUAGUGGGAUGUGGCCUGUGAAUAGCUACUGCACUCCAGCCUGGGCAACAUAGCAAGAUUUUAUCUCU
ensembl:misc_RNA Metazoa_SRP Metazoan signal recognition particle RNA